rnacentral:rRNA from 1 species
UCGAGAAUAUUCGACAAUGGGCGAAAGCCUGAUCGAGCGACGCCGCGUGCAGGAUGAAGGCCUUCGGGUUGUAAACUGCGGUAGUAGGGGAGGAACGCAAGUGACUGUACCCUACGGAAAGUGGUUGGUAACUACGUGCCAGCACCAGCGGUAAUACGUAGACCACAAGCGUUAUCCGGAUUUAUUGGGCGUAAAGAGCAUGUAGGAGGUUCGGUGCGUCUUCGGUUAAAGCCCACCGCCUAACGGUGGAAGUGCCGGAGAUACGAUCGAACUGGAGGAUGUGAGAGGUGCAUGGAACUCACGGUGUAGGGGUGAAAUCCGUUGAUAUCGUGGGGAACACCAAAGGCGAAGGCAGUGCACUGGUACAUUCCUGACUCUGAGAUGCGAAAGCGUGGGGAGCAAAAAGGAUUAGAUACCCCUGUAGUCCCUGAGCGGGCUGGCAAGGCGCAU